AUUGAACGCUGGCGGCAGGCUUAACACAUGCAAGUCGAGCGGGGUGAUGGUGCUUGCACUAUCACUUAGCGGCGGACGGGUGAGUAAUGCUUAGGAAUCUGCCUAUUAGUGGGGGACAACAUCUCGAAAGGGAUGCUAAUACCGCAUACGUCCUACGGGAGAAAGCAGGGGAUCACUUGUGACCUUGCGCUAAUAGAUGAGCCUAAGGCGGAUUAGCUAGUUGGUGGGGUAAAGGCCUACCAAGGCGACGAUCUGUAGCGGGUCUGAGAGGAUGAUCCGCCACACUGGGACUGGGACACGGCCCAGACUCCUACGGGAGGCAGCAGUGGGGAAUAGUGGACAAUGGGGGGAACCCUGAUCCAGCCAUGCCGCGUGUGUGAAGAAGGCCUUAUGGUUGUAAAGCACUUUAAGCGAGGAGGAGGCUCUUUUGGUUAAUACCCAAGAUGAGUGGACGUUACUCGCAGAAUAAGCACCGGCUAACUCUGUGCCAGCCGCCGCCGUAA
rnacentral:rRNA from 1 species